CCAUGUUAUCCAGGAACCUUGGAUCACUGAGCUGUCCCAGGCUCCCUCUGCCAGCCGCUUGCUUCAGGGCUUCAAAGGAAGGCUCGGCUGCAGUACCCAGCAUGCUUUUCUGCGGCUGCCACAGCCCUCUUUUGAAGCACCAUGGUAGCCAACAGAGAGGAUUCUGUGUUACGUACAGUAUGACCCUGGAGGAGCCAGCCAGCUGCUGUGACUCAGCUAAAAACAGGGAACUCGCUAGUGAGGGAUUAUGGUGGCUCAGUUCCCAUGGUUCUGUUUCUUUCACAAGCAUUUCUCAACCAAAGUGUCAGCUGUGACCAAGACAGUACAGUAUAGUUCGUGAUGAAGAACAGAUCCCGAUAGCUUCAUUUGGACAUGUGUACUGCUGCUCCUUGCAACUAGCAAUAAACAAGAAAGAGGAAGAGAGAGGAAAACUUGUUAACACCAUGCUGUAUCUAAACAAGCAAUCCCAGAUGGCAUCCUUUAUGCCUUCUGCCUCUGAUAAGAAAAGAUUGAACAGGAAAAAUAAGCAACAGCUGACAAGCCAUACCCAGAACUGAGCCCAACAGGGAGAACAGAUCCCAGCUCUGUGCACUGUCCUCAGUCAUGGCUCGGCACCCAACCCAGAGACCUGCCUGGCUUCAAAGGCUUUCAGCAGUGCCUGCUUUUAUGGGGCCAGUGAGUCAUGAAAGCCUACAGGGCAAAGUAUUUUUCUUUUUAAUUUGAUCUUUAGUUUGCUGAUGAAGACCAUGGAAUAAAUGCAGUAAUGUAUCUUAUUUAAAGACAUUGUUAAAAAGAGAGACAAUAAAUAAAAUUCAAUAGCUCUUUAGUACCAGUCAGUGUUUU